rnacentral:rRNA from 1 species
AUGGUCCGCCUCACCGCCGAGGGCAUCGCCGACAUGGUCGACCAGGCCGUCGCCAUGGCGUUUGGCCACACCUGCGGCCGCAACUACAUGCGCAUCCAGGCAGCGGCGUCGGCGCACUCGAUCAAGGCGCUCCGGUCGCUGGAGGCUCGGAAGGUGGUGGCGAUCGCGGACGGGAUGCUGACGACAAGAAUGGGGUCGGGGUCACUCCACCUCCUCCUCGUCUCCACGACCGCCCGGUCGGCGGCGACGGGAGCCGGACAUGGUCCAGGGGGCUGA